rnacentral:rRNA from 1 species
GAUGAACGCUGGCGGCGUGCCUAAUACAUGCAAGUCGAGCGAACAGACGAGGAGCUUGCUCCUCUGACGUUAGCGGCGGACGGGUGAGUAACACGUGGAUAACCUACCUAUAAGACUGGGAUAACUUCGGGAAACCGGAGCUAAUACCGGAUAACAUGUUGAACCGCAUGGUUCAACAGUGAAAGACGGUCUUGCUGUCACUUAUAGAUGGAUCCGCGCCGCAUUAGCUAGUUGGUAAGGUAACGGCUUACCAAGGCAACGAGGCGUAGCCGACCUGAGAGGGUGAUCGGCCACACUGGAACUGAGAGACGGUCCAGACUCCUACGGGAGGCAGCAGUAGGGAAUCUUCCGAAAUGGGCGAAAGCCUGAAGGAGCAACGCCGCGUGAGUGAUGAAGGUCUUCGGAUCGUAAAACUCUGUUAUUAGGGAAGAAAAAAUGUGUAAGUAACUAUGCACGUCUUGACGGUACCUAAUCAGAAAGCCACGGCUAACUACGUG